rnacentral:misc_RNA from 1 species
GCACCGGGACGGGGCGGAGAGCGGUGCAGUGGUGCGGGCUGCUGUUGUGUUAUUGCUGUUUUCUUUUAAUCGUUUUUUUAUGUGUAUAACGGUACACAUUAUUUGCUUUGAUGUGAACUGUAUUCAGUGCGUCUAAGGAAGAACGUAACUGUUGCGCAGCGAUAGUGAUAUUUAGAGUGUUGAAGCGAUCAGGUGAACACAUUCCAAUCCGACUUACAAAGAGUGAAUUGAAAUCGAUGGCCGCGGCCGGGCCGGGGGAGCGCCGGGGCCAGUCGGUCGGGACGCGGCUGACGGUGGCGGCGCACGCGCCUCUGGCCGCCGGCCAUCAUUGAUCGUCGCCGGGCCUCCGAUCCGGCCGGGGCCGUCCGUCGAGCGCGCGCACCGAGCCGACCUCUGCAGCCCGACCACCGGACUGGACUCGGCAGUGAAUUCAGCAGCGGCCGGAGGUGUGCGCUCCCCCGGUGGCUCCGCUAACCGGCCACCAUGCUAGUCAAGGAGUACAGAAUACCACUGCCGCUGACGGUCGAGGAGUACAGGAUUGCACAGCUUUACAUGAUAGCGAAAAAGAGUCGGGAUGAGACUCACGGCGAGGGCAGCGGCGUGGAGAUCCUCGUCAACGAGCCGUACCAGGACGGGCCCGGCGGCAACGGACAGUACACCCACAAAAUCUACCACGUCGGCAGCCAUCUGCCCGGCUGGUUCAAAAACCUGCUGCCCAAGUCGGCCCUCACGGUCGAGGAGGAGGCGUGGAACGCCUACCCGUACACCAAGACGCGCUACACCUGUCCGUUUGUGGAGAAGUUCAGUCUGGAGAUCGAGACCUACUACUUCAACGACGGCGGUCACCAGGAGAAUGUGUUCCAGCUGAACAAGGCCGAGCUGAGCGGCAGGACAGUCGACCUAAUUGAUGUGGUGAGAGACCAGCUGGGCAUUGGCGACUACCUGCGCGAGGAGGACCCCCGGAUCUACGUGUCACAGAGGACCGGCCGCGGACCGCUGAACGAUGACUGGAUCCAGGACUACUGGGGCGAGUGCAAGGGUAAGAAGACUCCUCUCGCCAACGGGAAGGCUAUCAUGUGCGCCUACAAGCUCUGCAAGGUCGAAUUCCGCUACUGGGGAAUGCAAAGCAAGAUCGAAAAGUUCAUUCACGAUAUUGCGCUGCGAAAGACGAUGCUGCGCGCCCACCGACAGGCGUGGGCGUGGCAGGACGAGUGGCACGGCCUGGCCAUCGACGACAUCCGCCGCAUCGAGGCCGACACGCAGCGGCUGCUGGCCAGCAAGUUCGGCGCCACUGAGGAGGCGGCGCUGCCGGCGCCCGGCGGCGCGGCCGACCUGCCCGACCGGCCCGCCGCAGAGGGCGCGGACGCCGACGCGCGCCGCAGGGGCUGGUCCCGCAGUAGCUCACGACUCACGCUGCAUUCGCCCGGCUCUGUGUCCGGCAAAGCCGAGCUGGAGGCGCAGCUGGGCAACUGGCGGAUGGAGAGCAUUCGACGAGACUCCGUCAAUGGCUCAUCGGACGACGAGUUCUUUGACUGCGAAGAGGAGGUGGUGGAGCGCACCACGCUGGCCCGUUGGAGCAGCCUGGAGCUCCUCUCCGACCCGCUCGGAGCCACCAAGGACGAGCUGUCGGCGUCGCCGGGCCUGCUCACCAGCCAGCCCUCGGAGCCCGUCAGCUCGGGCAGUCCACAGCCUGGCUCGGCGGUCGGCUCCUGCAGCUUUGAGAUCCUGCUGCUGGUGCUCCACUCGGGCAGUGUGCUCGACGCGCACACGGACCGCGGCACGAAGCGCUCGGACAUCACCACGUUCCGCGCGUCUGUGGAGGCCAUCGUGACGCAGCACUACCCGGCGCUGCAGGGCCGUCUCUGCAUCCGACUGGUACCCUGCCCGUCAAUGUGCGCAGAGGCCAUCUCCGUCCUCACCAGCCUGUCGCCGUACAGUUUCACGACCCCGUGCUCGGGCGGCGGCGGCGGCGGCGGCUCGGACCAGUCUCCGCCGUCUGCCACUGACUCGCUGCCGAUCGGCGCCAUCCCCCUGCUGGCCGCCGCCGCCCCCGACCACCGGGAGGCGGUGGCCCACGUGGCCUCCGAGAUGAACCGCGUCUACCUGGAGUUUGUCCGCUCACCAGCCGGCGCCGGCUUCCAGGGACAGGUCUCCAUCAUCGCCGACUCGAUGGGCUCGCUGCUGGCGUACGACGUGCUGUCCGCCGGCGGGGACGAGGACGACCACCUGGCGCCUCCCCCCUCGCCGGGCGUGUCCACGUUCGCGGCGUGUCCGAGCGGCGAGCUGCGCCCCGAGCCGGGCCUGGGCGGCGCGGUCACCACCGACACAGAGUACGACUCUGACUGUCCGUCGAGGGAGCCUCGGGAGCUGCGCCGCUGCAAGUCUGACGUGCCAGCCCGGCCAGCCGCUGCCGGCGAGGCCGGAGCCGCGCGAACCCUCUCCGAUAGCGAGCCGAUCACACGCCACCUGUCUCCACGCCGGCCCUCGGGCUGCAGCGAUCACCACUGGCGGCUCGAGUUCGACGUGACCGACCUUUUCAUGUUCGGCGCUCCUCUCGGACUGGUGCUCGCCAGUCGGCGAAUGUAUCUGCCCGAGGAGAACAGAGUGCCGCCUCGUCCGGCGUGUCACAAUGUGUACAACCUGUUCCACCCGACUAACCCGGUGGCGUGCCGGCUGGAGCCGCUGCUGUGCUCCCGGUUCGCUGCAGUGCCGCCGGCGACUGUGUGUCGGUACCACAAGUACCCGCUGGGCGACGGACAGCCCACCCACCUGCUGGAGUUUGUUCAGAGCAAUAUGCAGCUGCUGGGUGAGCCGUCUGGUGGCGAGGAGCGGCGCGCCGGCGGCGUGUUCCGGCGCGAGUCGGCCGCCUCCGUCCUCUCCACCAUGUCCGGUCUGGACACACUACACCUGCACACCGUCAACCACAUGGUGCAGCGGUGGUGGGGCAGCAAGCGCAUCGACUACGCGCUCUACUGCCCCGAGGGUCUCGCCAGCUUCCCGGCCCAGGUGCUGCCGCAUCUGUUUCACGCCAGCUACUGGGAGAGCCAGGACGCCAUCGCCUUCAUUCUGAGAAAUCUGUUGGGUGGCGAUCAGCACAGCGCCGGCGGCGACAGCCGCGACGGCGCUGCCGGUGCCCUGUUCUCCCCGGCUCAGCCGCGCGAAAAGUGGAUUCGGAAACGCACCUCGGUCAAAAUCAAGAACGUGACACCCAACCACCGCGGCAACGACGUGGUCGUUUGCGAGGGUGUGCCGCAAGUGCUGACGGCGCGCUUCACCUACGGACCCAUCGACAUGGUCUCCCUGACAGGCGAGAAGGUGGACAUUUAUUACAUGGCCGAGCCGCCGGGCGGCGACUGGCUGCUGCUUGGCACUGAGGUCUCCGACAAGAGUGGACGGGUGACCUUCACCAUACCGGCGGCCAAGGCGCUCGGAUACGGACUGUACCCCAUCAAAAUGGUCGUCAGGGGCGACCACACGUGGUGCGACUUCCAGCUGUGCGUGGUGCCGCCGCAGACCGAGUGCGUCGUGUUCAGUAUCGACGGCUCGUUCACGGCCAGUAUGUCUGUGACGGGACGCGACCCCAAGGUGCGCGCCUCAUCCGUCGACGUCGUCAGGCACUGGCAGGAGCUGGGCUACCUGAUCAUCUACGUGACGGGCCGUCCGGACAUGCAGCGGCGCAAGGUGCUCUCCUGGCUGUCGCAGCACAACUUUCCGCACGGUCUGGUGUCGUUCGCCGACGGCCUGACCACCGAGCCGCUCAAACACAAGGCCGACUACCUGCGCCAGCUCGUCGAGGUGGGCACGUGACCUCGUGACCUCCGGGCUCCGCUGCGCUCGUUUCACCUCUGGUUCAGGAUGAACACAUCUCUAAGGAGUCCAGGAUGAUCAUACACGCCGGCUACGGCAGCAGCAAGGACAUCGCCAUGUACGCCAGCGUGGGACUCCGACCCGAGCAGAUCCACAUAGUCGGCAAAAUGUCCAAAAAGCAGCAGGCCGACUUUUUAGUGGACGGUUAUGUGGCUCACCUGGCCGAGCUGACCAGUGUCGGAGGCAGCCGGGCCGCUAAGGGUAACGCUCGCAUGGUGCUGCCGCGCGGCUGCUUCGGGCUCAACCCUGCCCUCACGCGACGAAGGACCACGCUCGUGCACCGGCCCACGUGGCCGGCGGCCGGCCAGUCGCUGCCGGCGCCGCCCGCCUCGCCCGGCCAGCAGACGCACUCGCCACUGCCCGUGCCGCAUAGACGCUUCUUUUGGUCUGCCAAGCGAGCUACGUCGUUCCCGGCGACGUCGGCGUCGUCGGCCGGUCCGACGUCGCCGUCGCUGCAGCAGCCCUCCGCCAGCGAGGGUCUCUUCAGCCGACGCAGGCUGGCGCCUCGCGGCAAGACGGCCAGAUAGCACGGCGCCCGCCGGGCCAUCCGACGGCGUCCGUCGUCCGACUGGCGGCUGGCGCGCGCCGCGCUCCUCCGCGGCCGCGCGCCGACCGCCCGUCACUGUAUACGCUUUCUCGUUGGUGUGUUGACCAACGACCUGUGGUAAUGUUCAAACGCUGAGAAGACUUAAGGUAUUAUUUAAUGCAGUUACCAGCCGGAACGUGUGCGAAUUGUUGUUGACUAGAUCUUGAUGAGUGUUGUAGUGCAGGCGCGCUAACAGUUCAGUGUCGCUUCUGCCGUUAGUCCCGCCCCUGGCGUCGCCGUGAAAGGGACGCGCCCGCCCGCCUCCGAAGGCCAGUUUUAUCGUAGCUGACAUGUAGAACGUGAUGACGGUCGGUGGCCCUACGACGGUCCGUGACUCAUUCGACCGCAGCGAUAUUCUCAAAUGAUACUAUGUGACGUUCAAUGUGUGCAAGUGACAAGUUGCAACCAAUGACCUCGUACUAGAAAUGUACACCCAGUGGCCUCGGCCUUUUUAAUUUUUAAUUUCUGUCUGUGUCAAUAAUGGGACUUCAAAAUUUUAAUUGUUUCAACACAGUUCCACAUGUCUUAAAGAAUGAGAACCAAUACAGCAAUUUACUGUUACGA